UUGCACCGUCAACUUUUGUGGUGGAGUACCGUGGAAUAUUGGGUGUAAGUGAAGAUCUAGAUGUCAAAAAUAACAUCUUCUUAUUCGAUUUCAUCUGGUCUGGAAUGCACUUUUGUAUUAAUGCUUCAAAAGAGGAUGGAACACUUGGACGUCUUGCAAAUGAUAAUCACAGGAAUCCAAACUGCAGAGUGAAAAAAAUCGUUGUCAAGGGAACCCCACACUUGUGCCUAUUUGCUGUAAAGGAAAUAUUCCCAGAGGAGGAGAUAACUUACAACUAUGGGGAUUCUGCUUGGCCCUGGCGCUUAAAGGCUCCCCGGGAAGUAGCUUCUAACCCUGAGCCCGAGAGAGAUCCUCCGUUGUCCCCACAAACCAAAAUGGCAAGU